GUUAAAACACCGGCUCUCCUAUGAUCACCAAAGUUAAGCAAUAUCGAGCCUGGUCAGUACUUAGAUGGGUGGCCACUUGGUAAAACCAGGCGUUGUA